UACGAAGGGUGCAAGCGUUACUCGGAAUUACUGGGCGUAAAGCGCGCGUAGGCGGCUUUGUAAGUUAGAGGUGAAAGCCCGAAGCUCAACUUCGGAAUUGCCUUUAAGACUGCAUCGCUUGAAUCAUGGAGAGGUGAGUGGAAUUCCGAGUGUAGAGGUGAAAUUCGUAGAUAUUCGGAAGAACACCAGUGGCGAAGGCGACUCACUGGACAUGUAUUGACGCUGAGGUACGAAAGCGUGGGGAGCAAACAGG
rnacentral:rRNA from 1 species